UUUUCCUGCAAUGCGGAGCAAAUCAUAUGCUCCCCUGGUAUUUCGGAUUUUCAUGGGGAUAAACAUUCGCGUUUUAUUUGUCCUACUGCUUUUGUUAUUGGGAGUUGUUUUUUAUAUUGGAGCUAGUACAUCGCCAAUUAUUGUGUUCGUCUUUUGUGUCUGCAUCAUCAGUUUGUUCUUCUCCAUUUAUCUCACAAAGUGGGUUCUUGCAAAAGAUG
rnacentral:misc_RNA from 1 species